rnacentral:rRNA from 1 species
UACGUAGGGGGCAAGCGUUUGUCCGGAUUUAUUGGGCGUAAAGAGCGUGUAGGCGGUUUGGUAGGUCCGUUGUGAAAACUCGAGGCUCAACCUCGAGACGCCGAUGGAAACCAUCAGACUAGAGUCCGGAAGAGGAGAGUGGAAUUCCUGGUGUAGCGGUGAAAUGCGCAGAUAUCAGGAAGAACACCCGUGGCUAAGGCGGCUCUCUAGUACGGUACUGACGCUGAGACGCGAAAGCGUGGGGAGCGAACAGG